GCUCCGGAAGUCUGAAGCUAUGAGAACCUCUGCAAAGGGGAUGAGUUUUGCUAAUUAACUACGGAAGAAGUGAGGGAAAUUUCUUUUCCUCUCUCCCCCUUUUAGGAGACGCGCCCAGGAGGUGAGAGGGGAGCUGGAGGCGGCCAGGUCUUCUCUCCGCCCCUUCCUGCGGGAGCGCCCCCUCAGCCCCUCAUGACCCGGAGGGCUUUAGGACCCAGCUGAGGGAGUCCCGGAAGGGGAAGGGGCAGGGCCACUCUGCGCGCGCUGCCGGCUGGAGGGUUAGAAGCGCGCGCAUGCGCGAGUGGCGGCGUCGGGGUGGGAUCCCAGGUGGCUGCGCUUUCUGGGGGCUUCAGUGUACCCCGGAAUCAGCCCACUUCACUCCAUCUCGACCGCCUUCAUGAGCUGCCAGAGUCCCUGCAGGAGCCGCCUCACUUCGACUUUUGUCUUCCUCCAAACCAUUCUCCAUACAGAGUUGUAGGAACCGUAAUAUUUUAAAAAAGUAGAUCGGACCAAGAGGAAGUGUAAUGUCUCAGGAAGGCAAUUAUGGGAGGUGGACGAUAUCCAGUAGUGAUGAAAGUGAGGAGGAAAAGCCAAGACCGGACGAGCCAUCUACCUCUCUUCUCCCGCACGCUGAGCAGGGAGCAGCCAGUGAGCCAAAGUACACGUGUUGCGAGGCUCGGAAAGCUGCCCGCAGGAGGAAGAUCGCACCCGUGCAAUUCAGUAACACAGACUCCGUUUCAGAAGCUUCACCUGCCAAAAGGCAGAAGGGCGGUCCCCAGGAAGACCUGGGCUGGUGCCUCUCCAGCAGUGAGGAUGAGCUGCCACCGGAGACACAGCGGAAGCAGGCUAAGGACACGGGGGUCAACGAGGAGAAAGGCCUCCCUUCUCCCAGAGACGGUGCUGUCCCGGGAGCUGGGCGUCACAGCCCCUCGGCCGGCCACGGGCUUGAAACGUCAGGGCAAGGCCAGGACAUCUGGGGCAUGCUGGGUAAAGGGGACCCCUUCCAAUUUUACCUCACUAGAGUCUCCGGAAUUAAGCCAAAGUAUAACUUGGGAGCCCUCCACAUCAGGGAUAUCUUAUCUCCUCUCUUUGGGACACUUGUUUCUUCAGCUCAGUUUAACUACUGCUUUGAUGUGGACUGGCUCGUAAAACAGUAUCCACCAGAGUUCAGGAAGAAACCAGUCCUGCUCGUGCAUGGCGACAAACGCGAAGCAAAGGCUCACCUACAUGCCCAGGCAAAGCCUUAUGAAAACAUUGCCCUCUGCCAGGCAAAGUUGGAUAUUGCAUUUGGAACACACCACACGAAAAUGAUGCUACUGCUAUACGAAGAAGGCCUCCGGGUUGUCAUACACACCUCCAACCUCAUUCACGCUGACUGGCACCAGAAAACACAAGGAAUAUGGUUGAGCCCCUUGUACCCACGAAUAGUCCAUGGGACCCACAGAUCUGGAGAAUCAACCACACACUUUAAAGCUGACCUCAUCAGCUACUUGAUGGCUUAUAACUCCGCUCCCCUCAAGGAGUGGAUAGAUACCAUCCAGGAGCACGACCUCUCAGAAACAAAUGUUUACCUUAUUGGCUCAACCCCGGGACGCUUUCAAGGAAAUCAAAAAGAUAAUUGGGGACAUUUUAGGCUUAGGAAGCUUCUGAAAGAGCAUGCCUCAUCCAUAGCUAAAGCAGAGUCCUGGCCUGUAGUAGGUCAGUUCUCAAGCGUUGGCUCCAUGGGGGCCGAUGAAUCAAAAUGGUUGUGUUCUGAGUUUAAAGAGAGCUUGGUGACACUGGGCAGAGAAAGCAGGACCCCAGGAAGUGCUGUUCCUCUUCAUCUGAUCUAUCCUUCAGUGGAAAACGUGCGGACCAGCUUAGAAGGAUAUCCAGCUGGGGGCUCUCUUCCCUAUAGCAUCCAGACGGCAGAGAAACAGAAUUGGCUCCAUUCCUAUUUUCACAAAUGGUCAGCCGACACGUCAGGCCGCAGCAAUGCCAUGCCACAUAUUAAGACAUAUAUGAGACCCUCGCCAGACUUCAGUCAACUUGCGUGGUUCCUUGUCACAAGCGCUACCAUUGGAAGCAUUGCGGAGUGGUAGGCCAUCAUACAUCCCAAGGGAUACUUUAUUACAAAGCUUGUUGUUUUGCUCUGUGUUGAGUACCUGAAAUGAUGUGACAUUUCCCUCAAUCAGAUCUGACAGAUUCUCUAUCCAUUAUAUUAUGUUUUUAUACUCAUCAAGGCUCUUACUGAAAUUAUACCACUUUGCAGCAAUGUUGAAUUGAAUUUGAAGGCUAUUCUUCCAACCUUGGUUAAAAUCCUCUUAACUAUUAGCAGAAUGUUUUUUCUCAAAAUAGAGUCAGAGCAAUAUAAAGAAACAUAUCAGUUAUUGGGGGAAAAUGGUCUCAUCUAGCAUCAUGGGUUUUUGGGUGAGAAAACAGGUGCCCCAAGAAAUUAAGCAUUCAAAAGCGUUCAGCUCACCUUUUAUCCACAGAGUGAUCAGAAGUGAUCUCUUUUACUCCCCUCCUGCCGUUGGGUAGACUUUUCCUCCAAGAUGUUAGUGUCGAAGUCUUCUAUGUAAGAGUGCUCGCUGUGGGUCUUUGAGGGUUACUAGAGAUGGGAAUCCUGGUGCCGGGGACCCAGGGAUAAAGGAGAGGAGAGGCUCUUUGGAGGGCUGGCCUGUAGGAUGGAAAUGGAAACGUUGGGUCCUGGGAGGGGAGGGACGAUUCCUUUCACGCUGCCGUGUUAGGGUUCUCCACAGAAAUGGAACCAGUAGAUGAGAUACACAGAGAGCUAUUUUUAUUUUAAGAAAUUGACUCGUGAUUGUGGGAGCUUCAAAGUCCAGAAUCCAUAGGGCCAGCCCGCAGCCUGGAGUCUCGAGUCUCUGUGUUGCAGUCUUGAGCCUCUCUUUACUUUCCCUGGAAAAGACAAUUUGGGGAUUGUUUUUCCUCAAAGUGGAGUGAAAAGGAUAGAUGUGCUUCACAGAAGUUGCAUGAGAUUUAGUGAUUAUGAUUUAAGGGCACUAAGGGAGGUUGAGAUUAGUUAACCCCAUGAGUAAUCCUUUUCUACGGGCUGAGUUUCGUAGUUUAACGACAGUGUGUGCUCAGCCCCCGGAGCACGACUGGGAAAAAGAGCGAGGCGUGCUCCUGCCGUGCCGGGGCUGUGGGGAGAGACGACGCUGGCCCCUCGUCGUUCUGCUGUGUAAGGACCAGUGUUAGAAACAUAUUUUCUGGCUGGAGCAGGGUCUGGUUGUGUGAGAGACCACCAGCUAAAGCUAAGAAAGUGGUAUUUCAUGUAGGUCUCAAGGUGGGUCUGAAAGUAAACCAGGUGGAUUGGGAGGGGAAUCUGAGCCAAGGAGCUAAGGGACGAAGGGCACAGAGCUGAGAAAGCCCAUGGGGCUUUCAGGGAGAAUCUGAGGGAGUCCAUGCAGCUAGAUGGAUAAAAACAGAUUCGGAUACCUUCAGAAUAGAUCUUCUCAGACAAGUGCACCUGUGUUCUUGCACUUAAGUCCAGAAAGCAUCUACUGUCAGUUGAUUCAUUUAAUAUUUGGUGGUGGUUUUGUACUAUGAAUGUCUGCUCUAAUACUGACUGGCUUGAUUAUAACUUGGAAGUUAAUUGAAGAAUUUGAAAUUUGUCUUUGUGAAUCUGUGGCUUCUAAUUUUAUUCUGGAACACCUAGACCAGAAACUAUACUUGCCAAGAUGUUUAAAGGAUAACAAGUAACAUUCAUUCGGGGAUUUCGACAUGCCAAGACACUGUUCUAAAUGCUUUAUGUACGUUUAUUCAUUUAACGCUCACAACAGCUCCAUGAGGACUUGGAGAAAUGAGUGGUUGAAAAGGCUGCCCAUGGUCACACGGUAGUAAGUGGUAGAAGCAGGAUUUGAACCCCAGGCAUUUGGCUCCACGACCGGCACUCUUCAGCUCUACCUUCUAAUGCCUCUUAAUUAAGAUACGGUUUUAGUGCUCGUGUUUGCAGUGAAGACCAGUUAGGUCAAAAGAAACCGCAGCACAUUUUACUUUGUUAUGUAAAAGAGAAAAAGCCCCCAUAGCACUCGUUUUAUGAAAGGAUACCUGAGAAAUGUAACUUCUGUAACAAUUCAGAACAUACUUAGAGCCCGCUCUCCAGCCCUUUCAUAAAAAGGGAAGGUACAGAUCCCAAGUAUAAGUGACAUCUACUAGUAACUCCUUUCUUUUUUGUUUUUGUUUCCAACCUUAUCUCCCAAACCGAGCUCAUCUGUCUAGAAGGAGGUUCCUUUCCCGUCAUCCCUCUUUGCCCCAGAGGCACCUGCCCACUCUCAUCAGGCCUGAAGCCCAGCUGUCCUCUUGUGCUCUUCCUUCCUUGGAGCGUUUACCGAGGUCCUUCCUCCUGUGGAUGCUGGGCACUCGGGAUAAAACAGUGAGAAGACAGUGAGAAGAUUUACGUAGUGCCUUUGAGAUGCUCAGAAUCUCAGAGAUGUCAGAAGCCAGACACAGCAAUGAUUUCAAUAGAGCGAGAUCAGCUGUAUCCUUGAGAGAGGAGAGAGUAUGAGCUUUACGUCGUCAGACGGUCCUGGACGAGAUGAUCUGUCUACUCCUGAACGAGUCUUUUGCCGUGAACAAGUUUCUUAACCGCUCUGAGCCUCAGACGCCUCAUCUGCACAGCAGCCACGAGGGUGUGAGGUGCCACGCUUGGUGAUUUGACCCACAGGCAGAAGAGUUCAGCUUUAAGUUCAGAGCGGUAAAUUCACUGAUAAAGUAUAAUGAAAGAGCUGGAAGUGGAAGAGCACAAUCUUGACACAAGGGUCACUAGUGAUGGUCCAGUGCGUGUGGCCCCUCCGUGUUACCUACUCCACCAUUAAAAUGAGAGGUUCAUGCUCUCAUGGAAUUUACAUUAGGACCAAAGAGGUUCUGUCAAACAGCCGGUUGUAUAUGUGUUAUGUAAUUGCAGUGUAAUUCUUUUCUGACCAUUCUGCAUAAGUAGAUUUUCACCCAGCAAGGCCUACGCUGACUUUCAGCUCUCAGCUUAAACGUCACUGAAACUCUCCUUGCUUCCUCAGCCUCCUGGUGUCCAUCUGUCCAACAACUCAUGGUACACAUAUUACUUAUUUUAGCCAUUGCUCUUUCCAGACACUGCUCUGUUCCAGGCAGGGUGUCCAUAUACCCUGGGCUGCUUGCAUGGUCUGUGUUGUUUCCCUUUCAGCGUGGUUGCUUGUGUGAUCACUGGCUUCCCCUCUCACCUCUGAGCCAAGUCCAUUUCUGUCUUGUUCAGCGCCCCCCGGUGCCUGGCAUGGAGGGGCGCUCAGCACAGAUUUGUUAACGAGGAAUCGAACGAAGGCCAGGAUGGAGGCUGUACCAGUGAAAGCACUGCCUAGACUUUGUGCGUAAUUGACUGGGAGAUGCUUCAGAGGCGAGUCCUGGGCUUGGGGUGUGGCUGGUAGGGAGAUGGGGGAUGGUCGCCAUCAUCAAUAGAGAAGUCAGGAAAUGAAACUGGUUUCAGUGGGAGAAUGGUCAACUCGAUUAGACUGAUUUAUUAUAGUGGGACGGUCAAGUGGAAUUGUUUAUUGGUGAUGUUGCACUCAGAAGGUCAGUGUACACAUGGUAUAUUUUGGAGUUCUCUUUGGAACUGAUCAUGGACACCCUGAGCCUUUGUGGAUGGUCAGGGAAGAGUGGAGCACAAGGUGGGUGCCUGGGAGGGGAGGAACAUACAGGGACUAAACAUCACUUUAACCAAGUGUUCCACUGCCACACAGAUGAAUUGGAUCCAAGCCUUCCCUCCUGAGUUAAAGAACAACUAACUGGUCACCAUCUUCCAUGAAAUAAUCUUCCUUCUACCUAAGAAAUGUUCUGUGUUGUAUUUUGGGCAUCAUAAAAUUUAACCGUUCAUCUCAACAUGUAUUUAUUGAGCACCUGCUGUGUAGCAGGUACUUUUCCAGGUGCAGGGAGUGCAAUAUUAAAAUGUAAUCCUUGACUUUAUGAUGGUGAGAAUUACACAAAAACCAAGUUUAUAUGUAUCAAACGGUGAUAAUUGCUCUAGAGAAAAAUAAAGUAGAAGAAGAAUUUAGGUGCACAGUCCUUUACUCAGAAUCCUUGAGACAAGAUAUAUUUGCAGCAUGGAAACAUAAUAUGAUACAUAUAAUAGCAUCUAUUAACAUCCCUAGUGGUGUUACAAGUAGCCUCAUGUUAGCUUAGGUCAACUUUUGUCACCUAAUGAGUUAACAAAAUUAAGUUUUGCCAUUAAAUAUAAUAAGUUAGGUAAUAGCUUCAUUUCCAAGUUGGUUUCGGUUGUUUUAGAUUUUCAGAGCUAACGUAGUGCUUACGCUGAGUUCCAGGCAUUCUUCUAAGAGCAUAGUCCAUACACACACAUACACUCAUGUAAUCCUCAUAACAACCCUACAACAGAGGUGUUAGUCCCCUUUACAGAUGGGAGAACUGAAGCACAGAGAGGGUCAACAAGUGCCCAGGAGCCCAGUAACAUCCUCAGGCACUAUGCUAUCCCUGUGUCAGGAAGGGAGGCUGCUCAUGAGUAGGAUGGUCAGGGAAGGCCUCACUGACGUGGUGACAUUUAAGCAGAGACCUGAAAGAAGCGAGGGAGCCGUGUGGAUGGAGAGCUGGGGGAAAGCGUUCUGGGCAGAGAGGCAGAGUUGGGGAUAUUCUGGUUUGUGACUGAGAAACCAAGUGGGUAUUAUUGCUGGAGUGAGUGGGAUUGGAGGGCCGGGGAGGUCAGAGCAGUAACUGGCAUUUUGGUCAAGAUAAUCCUUUGUUGUGCAGGAUUGUCCUGUGCGUUAUAGGGUGUUUAGUAACCUGGGCCUCACAUACGAACCGCCAUGUCACGGUGAAAGCCAUCCAGAUGCCCCAUGCCUUUCUAAAUAUCCCCUAGAUUCUCUCUCCUGGUGGAUGGUAUUGUCGUCUUUGAGAAUAAAUUCAGAACUCUG